UACGGAGGGGGCAAGCGUUGCUCGGAAUCACUGGGCGUAAAGAGCGUGUAGGCGGUUUCGUAUGUCUGGCGUGAAAGCCCCGGGCUCACCCCGGGAAGUGCGUUGGAAACUGCGAGACUAGAGUCCCGGAGAGGAAGGUGGAAUUCCAGGUGUAGCGGUGAAAUGCGUAGAUAUCUGGAAGAACACCGGUGGCGAAGGCGGCCUUCUGGACGGUGACUGACGCUGAGACGCGAAAGCGUGGGGAGCAAACAGG
rnacentral:rRNA from 1 species